UUCCCUCAGUAGCGGCGAGUGAAGCGGGAGACGUCCAAGCUUGGAAUCCCUGUCGGGUUCACCGGAGGGAAUUGUAGUCUGAAGAGGGGCCUUCUCGGUGGGCACCGCUCUCAAAGUCGCCGUGGCAAAGCGCGCCUGAGAGGGUGAUAGCCCCGUCCCUGAUUGCGGCCGGCCUGCCCUUUGCGAGGCCCCCUCGGAGAGUCGGGCUGUUUGGGAAUGCAACCCAAAGCGGGUGGUAGACUCCAUCCAAGACUAAGCAUGCGUGCGAGACCGAUAGCGAACAAGUACCGUGAGGGAAAGGUGAAAAGCACUUUGGAAAGAGAGUCAAACAGUGCGUGAAACCGCUGCCGGGGAAGCGAAAUGAGGCUGCGUGUGGCGCCGGCGUCGUCAGGCGUCCCGGCGGACACUCUGCGGCGGUUGUCUGACCCCUCCGUGGGAAUUACGUACUGCUGCGGGACUGUCCCGCUGGGCCCGGCUGCAUUGAUGCCGGGGCCGGGCCAGCACCGGUUCCAAGCUGCGGGAGAAACGUUCGGCUGGGUAGCUCGUCGGGGUGGUUCCUGCCUUGCCGAUGGCCUGCCGAAACUGCUGCCCGCCUGGAACCGAGGCGAGUUGGCAUCCCUUGCCCUUGCGGUGUGGGCCUGAGGGCUGGACGGCGUUGCUGCACUGCCGGGCCUCCCCUGGACUGCUUGCAGUGCCGGGGGAUGUGCCCUGCCGGUGGUGCUGGAACGUGCGGUCACAAUGUGCACCGAGGGUGCUGGCCGGAGGCGUCUCAUCCGACCCGUCUUGAAACACGGACCAAGGAGUGCAGCUCG
rnacentral:rRNA from 1 species